rnacentral:miRNA from 15 species
UUGGUCUCUCUUUGUGACUUCCCACAGCUUUAUUGAACCGCAGCUUAAGCCUCCGUCAUAGAGCAACCGAUGCAGUUCAAGAAAGCUGUGGAAAACUACAAAGAGGAUCAU